CCUUUGAGCCCAAGUUCUCUGGGCUUCUCUCUCUAUGUGGUUGACCAGAAAGGAGAGGGGCAAUAAUUUUCUCACAUUUUUCCCUUGGAUGUGCGUGUAGGUUGUUGGGUUGAGGCGCCAUCUCACUUUCUAGUUAGUUAAGAUUCCUUCCUGAUAAGGUAUGAUUUAAAUUUGAUCUAUAUCAAAUCUUAUCAGAUAGGAAUCAGUUUUGGCAU
rnacentral:lncRNA from 1 species